AGCGAACGCUGGCGGCAGGCUUAACGCAUGCAAGUCGAGCGGGCACUUUCGGGUGUCAGCGGCGGACGGGUGCGUAACGCGUGGGAACGUGCCCUCUGGUUCGGAAUAACUCAGGGAAACUUGAGCUAAUACCGGAUACGCCCUUUUGGGGAAAGGCUUGCUGCCGGAGGAUCGGCCCGCGUCUGAUUAGCUAGUUGGUGAGGUAACGGCUCACCAAGGCGACGAUCAGUAGCUGGUCUGAGAGGAUGAUCAGCCACACUGGGACUGAGACACGGCCCAGACUCCUACGGGAGGCAGCAGUGGGGAAUAUUGGACAAUGGGCGCAAGCCUGAUCCAGCCAUGCCGCGUGAGUGAUGAAGGCCUUAGGGUUGUAAAGCUCUUUUAUCCGGGACGAUAAUGACGGUACCGGAGGAAUAAGCCCCGGCUAACUUCGUG
rnacentral:rRNA from 1 species